AUAAAUUUUAACGUUUUCGAAAAUGCGUUUUUGAAAACGACGGAUCAAACGCGUUUUCGCAUUUUCGAAAACGGAAAACGGAAAAUGGGUCGAAAAUGACUAACCAACCACGGCCUUAAUUUUUGGACACUAAAAUAUUUCUUGGAUGCUUGUGGGACAGUCAAUUUGUUCCUAUGCUGAAGCUUCAAUGAACGACAUGCGAAUUAUUCUCUGUGCUUGGAAUCCUUAUGAUCUUAAGUUAAUGUCUGCUGAAUAAUUAUUUAUAUAUGAUGCUUUACUUUUGUAGUGGCUUUUGUUUGGGGGUAAAUUCUUUUUUGCUGCCUUCUUUUUUGUGUUUGUUUUGGUUGCAGAACUUAAGGUAAGGUGAGACCUACACAUCAACAUCAUCAUCAUAUGGCGACUUCCAAACACGGUUGCAAAAAUAUUGGUUCAAUAUGAGUCAGCGAAAAAUACCUGAGGAAAUUUCUGUAGAAUUCACAUAUGACACCUAUUUGGCUAUCUUACAUUCAUUCUCAGAGGUCUUCACUGCCACUGGAAAUUUCUACAUAUGUCCCAUAGCUGUGGGAAUGAUUGUUGAAAUCAUUGUAAUG